UGGGGAAUAUUGGACAAUGGGCGAAAGCCUGAUCCAGCCAUGCCGCGUGUGUGAAGAAGGCCCUUUGGUUGCAAAGCACUUUAAGUGGGGAGGAAAAGCUUGUGGUUAAUACCCAUAAGCCCUGACGUUACCCACAGAAUAAGCACCGGCUAACUCUGUGCCAGCAGCCGCGGUAAUACAGAGGGUGCAAGCGUUAAUCGGAAUUACUGGGCGUAAAGCGCGCGUAGGUGGUUAUUUAAGUCAGAUGUGAAAGCCCCGGGCUUAACCUGGGAACUGCAUCUGAUACUGGAUAACUAGAGUAGGUGAGAGGGGAGUAGAAUUCUAGGUGUAGCGGUGAAAUGCGUAGAGAUCUGGAGGAAUACCGAUGGCGAAGGCAGCUCCCUGGCAUCAUACUGACACUGAGGUGCGAAAGCGUGGGUAGCAAACAGGAUUAGAUACCCUGGUAGUCCACGCCGUAAACGAUGUCUACCAGUCGUUGGGUCUUUUAAAGACUUAGUGACGCAGUUAACGCAAUAAGUAGACCGCCUGGGGAGUACGGCCGCAAGGUUA
rnacentral:rRNA from 1 species